UACAGAGGUCUCGAGCGUUAGGCGGAAUCACUGGGCUUAAAGCGUGUGUAGGUGGAUCGGUAAGUACCUUGUGAAAUCCCUCGGCUCAACCGAGGAACUGCACUCGAUACUGGUCGGCUAGAGUCCGGGAGGGGAUGGUGGAAUUCCCAGUGUAGCGGUGAAAUGCGUAGAUAUUGGGAAGAACACCGGUGGCGAAGGCGGCCAUCUGGACCGGAACUGACGCUGAGACGCGAAAGCGUGGGGAGCAAACAGG
rnacentral:rRNA from 1 species